GCACCUGUAGCUCAAUUGGAUAGAGCGCCUGACUACGAAUCAGGAGGUUCGGGGUUCAAGUCCCUGCAGGUGUGCCA
rnacentral:tRNA from 3 species